rnacentral:misc_RNA from 1 species
GGAAGUAAAAGUCGUAUCAAGGUUUCCGUAGGUGAACCUGCGGAAGGAUCAUUCAUAAUAAAGUGUUUUAUGGCACUUUUUAAAAAUCCAUAUCCACCUUGUGUGCAAUGUUAGAUCUCGUCAAUCUUGGCGAGAUUUUUAUACAUCAACUCAUUCUUUAACUAAUUUGUCUGAAAAAUAUUAUGAAUACUUAAUUCAAAAUACAACUUUCAACAACGGAUCUCUUGGCUCUC